GAUGUUGGUGUGGCAUCUGCGCCACGCAAUUGCUCUUUAUUUAUGCAAUGGCGUCAGGAGAUGGAGACGGCAUCAUAAAAUUGUCGGUUUUUUGUAUCUAUAAUCGCAAAAGUUGGCGAUUUUGUUUUGCUAUAGUGAGGCCCGUCUCCUGAUUUACGUGCGCAUCAUCGGCAGGAUGAGGGCGAAUUUUUGUAUCUGCUGGAUUGCCUGUCAGGUUGUCGGGAAGUCAUUGAGAAAACGGUACUGCGGAGAUUUAUACAAUUUGGAGACGGAUUUUAAUUCAUUUUAAUAUGAUGUUAGUUCCGGGAUAGUGAUCCUUGUGAGUGCAGUGGCAUCAGGAGAUGGAGACGGCGUUGUAAGGUUGUACAGUUUUUUGUGUUUAUAAUCGCGAAAGGUGGCGAUUUUGUUUUUCUUUUGCGGAGCCGGUCUUCUCUUGAUGGUUGUGUUGGAUCACCAGUUGGCUCUGGUUAUUGAGGUUUUAGCGUCAACUAAUGUAGGCGCUCGUCGAUCUGGAAG